AAAUAGAACUUUGCAGAGAGAGUUAACAGGGCGUGAAACCGUUAAUUGGCAAACGAAUCGGAGCCACGAAGUCGUUUCGCUGUGAGGCUUGAGUUCAAAUGGAAUCGAGAGGUUCUGUUGUAUUCUCCAAGUCAACCACACAUUGUAAACGUACACUGCAACCAGUUAGACAAUUGGUGAUGGAAUCAGCUUUAAUUGACAUUUGGGUUAGUAAUAACUUGGUGCGCCUUGUGUGCAUUUGGGUUAUUGGGCCCCUUUGGGUGAACUAUUACCAAAUACUGACUGGCAAAAUAAAAAUCAUCAUCCUUUGAUGUUAUACAAAAUGCGAUAGUUAACAUAGCUAACUACAUGAUUAACCAUCUGGUCUAAGCUCAGUAAUUUUGAAUUUGGACUUUCUUGCUACCAAUGGGGCAACUCUUGGUGCUUGUUUAGCUUCCAUCUAAUCGGUUAUUGACUUGGCUGGGUGUUGAUUAAUUAUGCUACGAUUGGUUAAUUAUGUUAAAUUAUUUGCAAUUUAAUUGGCAGUGAGUAGGUCGGCUUUCCGAACGACCCGUCUUGAAACACGGACCAAGGAGUCUAAUUAGGCAUCAAGUCGAUCGGUCUUGAAUAGGCCAGUUGAAGGCGUAGAGACAUGUGAUUGGUAGCGCAAGUUAUUCACGCAACAUGUGCCUGCUCGUAUAGUAAUGUUAGCAAUAAUUACUGGGCGGAGUAAAGAGAUGCCUGAUUGGUACCCGAAAGAUGGUGAUGCUUGGGCAAGUUGAAGCCAGAGGAAACUCUGGUGGAGGACUGUAGCGAUUCUGACGUGCAAAUCGAUCGUCAGACCUGAGUAUAGGGGCGAAAGACUAAUCGAACCAUC
rnacentral:rRNA from 1 species